rnacentral:lncRNA from 1 species
AUGUCCGAAGGGGUCAAGGUGGUUGUUGGUGAGCUUGAGCUUCUGGAAGGAAACCAACUGCCUCAUCCAGUGGGCUCCAGUAGCGGGGGAGUCGGGGUGCACGUAGAGGCGGCCGGGCAUGGCCGGUUCUGCCUUCCCGGUCACGGACCAUUUAUUAUCUGCAAAUUUGUAUCUGUGGUCAUCCGCUGGUACAAUAUCCAUCAACAGUAUGUACUUCGUUUUUGGAUUGAGUCCAGUGACCUUCACUUUGUAACUGGGAAACAUACGCCUUCCAGCCUUUGUUAUGAUCAUCUCCGUCCCCACCUCGUGAAAUUUCAGCCACAGCUCCCGCUCGUGCAAAAACACUUUGAUCCCCUCCAUGCCCUGCUGGGUGAAGGCCGCCUGUGGAGAGGUGGGGGCCUUGCUGGUGGUCCCCAGCUGGGGAUCCUGCUUGGCCUCAGCCUGCAGCUCCUUGGCCUCCGAGUCAACCGGCGUGCUCGGGAGCCCGAAGCCUUCCUCGGUGUCCGCCAUGUUACGAGCUUCCUUCGCCGAAUCCCCCACUUGCUUGUUGAAUUCCAUGCAAUCAAUGCAUCUCCAUAUAUAUAUGUAUGUGUAUAUUUUCC